rnacentral:lncRNA from 1 species
UGAGUUCGGAUUUGGGUUUGGAUCCAUCAAAACAAGUGAGCCCCAAAUUUGGAAUCUUAACUCUAUUAACAGUCAGAUUUGAGUUUGAACUCAAGCAUUUUAGAUUCAAUUCAACACAUGAUUUUAACCUAUAUUUAUCUUAUUAUGUACUUGUUUUGUUCUCUUUGAAGCUCUUAUUAAAAACUAAUACUUUGUUCUCUUUCAACCAUUUAUUCAAAAAUAAUAUGUCAUAAUACUAUUGAAUGAGUGGAGGGGGUGAUAUUUUAGAUUUAUAUCUACCAUUUCUCUGAUCUAUUCUUAGUUCCACACUUUACGAAUAUUCACCAAAAGUAUAAUUAGGGGAGCAAAUGGGUCGGGUCAGACUAGGCCAUAAGUGAUCCCGACCCAACUCGGAUUCUUAUUCAGGUCCUCAUGUUGGACUCAGACCCAAUACAAUAGAAGAUUGAGUCGGAUCAAGUCAGAUCCACAUCUAAAAUUUCUAACUUGACAGGUCAUUUGGGUCAGAUGAAUCGGGUCCAUAUAUAACCCCCUUCCAACCCAAAAAAAUUGGGUCUG